CACGGGGGAGCAAGCGUUGUUCGGAAUUACUGGGCGUAAAGGGCGUCUAGGCGGAUAGGUAAGUGGGAUGUGAAAUCCCUCGGCUCACCCGAGGACCUGCACCCCAAACUGCCUGUCUUGAGUACGGUAGGGGCAGAGGGAAUUUCCGGUGGAGCGGUGAAAUGCAUUGAGAUCGGAAAGAACACCAACGGCGAAAGCAACUCUGCUGGGCCGACACUGACACUGAGAGACGAAAGCUAGGGGAGCAAAUGGG
rnacentral:rRNA from 1 species